rnacentral:rRNA from 1 species
UACGAAGGGUGCAAGCGUUGUUCGGAAUGACUGGGCGUAAAGGGCGCGUAGGCGGUCCGGUACGUUUGAUGUGAAAGCCCCGGGCUCAACCUGGGAAUUGCAUCGAAUACGGCCGAGCUUGAGUGCGAGAGAGGAAAAUGGAAUAGUGCGUGUAGAGGUGAAAUUCGUAGAUAUGCACUAGAACACCAGAGGCGAAGGCGAUUUUCUGGCUCGUAACUGACGCUGAGGCGCGAAAGCGUGGGGAGCAAACAGG